UGAAGGGCUGACGCAGCUAAGGCUCAGCUGGGCAUCUCUCUCUUUCUUAAUAUAGUCUCAGGGCACCUGAUGAGCGUGGGCUUCCUCCAACAGGGAAGUCUCAGGGCACCUGAUAUGGAGGUAUAGGUAACUGGAGUGAGUGUCCUACUGGGCAAGGGAGCAUCUGCAUUUCCUUUAGGGACUCACCUUAGGAGUCAGGGAGUACCACUCCUGUAUAUUCCACCAGUUGAAAUAGCUAUCAGAGUGUACCCACAUUCAAGGAAAGAAAUUGAUGCUACCUCUUGGUGGGUAGUUGCAAGAUUCGAGAAAAGCACCUGAGAUAGAAGGUAUGUGAUAUGAUCUGCCUCCUGUGGGUUGGCAUAUAUGGGCUGAGGGGACCAAGAAGGAAGGCAGAAGGCUUUAUUAGUAAGCUGGUCUUAUAAUUUAAACAGUGGGAAAGCAGCUGAGAGGCUGCUCUGUGUUAUUUUGAGGGUAGGAAUCACUAGGAAAUGAUAAUCAGGAAAUGAGGAGAGAGCAGAAAGUGGAGAUCCCUGUGGGUGUCUGGGUGGCUGGUGGGUUAUUCACUGAGUUAGAGAAGGUAGGAGGAAGAGCCAGAGGCAGGAAUGAGUCUGUUGCUGGGUUUGGUUUUGGACAUCUGGGUUGGCUUCACAUUGAUGGAUGCAUGAAAAUUCUUCCAAGCGUAGGACAGAGCAACGUGCAACAGACUGGGAAGCCUACGUCCAGCUCUGCAGCACCUCUGCCUGGGGAUGUGCUGGGUGCUCAGAGAGCCGGGGCAGCAGGAGGACUGAGUUGUAGGGCAGGUGGAUACACCCGAGCGAGGCGGUGGACACCUGCCACCCAGGGCAGUGUUUGCCAAGCUCACCUGAUUGCCAGUCGACUGGAGCACUUGUUAGACAGGAGAACUCCCAGGCCCCACCCUGAAUGUACCAGAUCAGAAUCUUCAAGGGAGGGGCAGCAGAAUCCCUGUUUUUAAUAAAUGCCUCAGGUGAGUCUGGCGAUCAGGUAAGUUUGGCAGACACUGAGGAAGCCAUGAUGAGACUCUGUGGGAGCCUCGUUCCCAUACGCAGAAGGUGAGAGGCACCUUCCCCCCGCUGUGCUCUGAACUGUCCUCCUGGAUCAAGAGCCCUGCGCUGGAGUUGAACACACCUGCAUGUGACUUUGGGCUCUGCUGCUUCGUUCUACGUUGUCAUGGGAAUGUGCACCCUCUCUCAGGCUCAGUUUUACUCUGUAAAAUGGGGAUAAUGAGCCCCAUGAUGGAGCUGCUGCGUGAUUACAUGGGUGCAUUUCAAAACCAGUUCUCCCCGUAACAACCGACUGCCCAACAUUUCAUUUCAAUUCUGACACAAUCAAUUGGAAUCAGCCUCCGAUUUCACAAUGAAAGGGCAAGGUCCCCAGUGAGAUUGCCGUUACCUCAGAUAUCAGCUGCAGUGAGGUCUCUGGGCCACCUGUACCUCUGUCUAACUUGGUUACAAAUUCAGGGGCACCCCCAUCCCUCCCCGGACCAGGUUAGAUAAUUCAUGAGCGUAACUCACAGAACUCUGAAAGCACUGCUCUUAUGAUCACCAUUUUAUAAGGAUGCAAAUGAGCAGCCAGGUGCAUUGGUACAUGGCACCAGGUCUGGAAGGGUCCCCAGCCCAGAAGCCUCUGCCCCGUGGAGUCAGGACGCAUGUUCACAACCAGGAAGCUCCUCCAGCCUCACUGUUCAAAGCUUUUAUAGAGGUGUCAAUAGAGAGGCAUGAUGGAGUCAGUCACUGGCCUGGGACUGGCCUCCAUCCCCUACCUCUUUCCACUCUGCACAGGUCCGGGGAAAGGGUGAUGGAAGUUCCAGCCCUCUGGUCACUCACAUCACGUGAUUGGUUUUUCUGGUGACUAACAUCCAUCUUGGAGCUAUCAAGCAAAUUGCCAGCAACCCUCAUUAGCAUACAAAAGCAUGCCCAUCCCUUCAGAAAUGGGAAAUUCCAAAAGUUUUUUUUAAAGUUCUGCGCCAGGAACUUGAUACAAUGGUGUCCAUAUCUCUUUGUAUCUAUCUUAUUGUAUCACAACGAGCUAAUAAUGUAAAAUGCUUAGCACAGUACCUAGUAUUUGGCAAGAGUUCAAUAAAUAGUGAGUGUGGUAAUAAAUAAAUAAAAUAAUAACAGUAAUAAUAGCAGUAACAGUAGUACUAAGGCAGGAGUGAGUUGUUGGCUCUGCAGCGUACAUGGCACACGGAUUUGGGAUCCAUGUACUUAACAGGUUUGAAACACGGUGCUGGACCCCUGCUGGAAGUGCCUGACGUCCAGCAUCCAGGGGCUUCAGGUGAGGGCUGAGCGUGGUCCCAGGACUCUGUCUUCAGGCUUUGGUGUGCACCAGCAGAACUGGUGGAGCUUGUUAAAAAUGGAUUCCUGGGUCCAUCAGAUAAUCUGAGGGGCAGGGCCGGGAUGAGCAUGGCGCACCUGUACGUUAUUUUCUUUUACUAGUUGUCCCGAUGGUGGAGAACCACUGCCCCCAGCUUCUAUAGAGAGUCGUGUGUCUGAGCGGGGAGAGAAGGCUGGGGAAACCCGACCAGGAUGGCGCAGACGCUCUUGGUCUCCUACUCUCACGUGCUUGCUACUGGGGCAGCAGUUGGUCUUAGGUAAUGGCUGACUGUGCUGGUUCUGGAAAGGCUGGGAAGGGUUGGGUGUGACCAGGGCUGAGUGGUGGUUAGUGAAAGCCAGUCAAGGUGCUCUGGUUUCUCUUGCCACCAUCCGGUUUGGGUGUGACCAGGUUGGCAUGGAAACAUGAGGGGAGGCCUGGAGGGUUGGGGAUGGCUGUCCUCGUUGACUACAUUAAAAAUGUAGGAAGGAGUCCCUCCCUCUUCUUCCUCUAGUUCUGUAGUUGACAGAUGAUGCUUGGAGGUGCAAUGACCAUCUUGGGAACACAAAAGGAGUCGGCAAAUCACAUGGGUCAGCACCAUGGAAGCCGCCAAAACAGGGUCCUUGAAGAGUGUGGAACUAAAGAUUGGUUCUGCCUUGAGUUCUCCUCUCCAGGACCUCUUAGUGCACAUCAUGGAGUUACUAAUGGGAUGUUUAUUAAAUUUUUGAUGAAGGUCCUAGACCUUAGUCUUAUAGACACCUCUCUUCUCUCCCCAACAUCAUUUAUAAGGAAGUACUAGGUCAGGGCUUCUCAAACUUGGCACUGUUGACACUUUGGACUAGAUAUUCUUCGUUAGGACUGUCUUUGUCUGUUUUGUGCUACUGUAACAGAAUACCACAGACUGGGUAAUUCAAAAAGAAAAUAAAUGUCCUUUUCUCAGUUCUGGAGGCCCGGAAGUCCAAUAUUAAAGUGCUGGCACCGGAAGGGGCCUUCUAGGUACAUCAUUCUAUGGAAGAAGGCAGAAGAGCAAAGAGAGGGAGAGCAUAAUAGGGGCUGAAAAAUCCACUCUCAAGAUAGUAAACCCAUUUCUGAGAUAACAACAUGAAUCCAUUCGUGCGGCAGAGUCCUUGUGACCUAACCGCCUCUUCAAUGUUCCAUCUCUGAAUGCUGUUGCAUUAGGGAUUCGGUCUUCAGCACUCGAAUUAAAGCCUUAGCAGCUACCUGUGCAUCGAAAAGUAUUUAGCAGUGUCGUUGCUCCACCUCUGCCCUAGAGGGACCAGAAACUACCUGAGCCAGGUGGGAGCGAGGGAUAGGAGGAUACCCCCAAGCUCCCUCUGCCCCGGAGGCUCCCUGGCUAGACUGUGGCUUGAACUGGGAGGAGGAACCAAGGUAUGAGGAGGAAGCCUCAACUUGGAUGGGACUUGAAUAUUAGACUGGGCUGGAUCUUCAUUACCCCUCCCAAAAAGAAACAAUUACUACGUAACAGUAAUCAGUAAAGCUAGGAGCUUUUAGCUAUGCACAGUCAGCCUAGAUGUUCUGCAAAGGGGCAAAGAGUAGACAUUUUAGGCUACGGGGGUCCUAGGUCUUUUGUUGCACGAACUAAAAUUCUACCAUUGUAACAUGCACCACCGGCAAUGUGGAAAUGGACCCGUGUGGCUGUGGUCCAAUGCAGGCAUCUGGUCACAUCUGUCUUACGGACUACUGUUUGCCCAGUCCUAACCUAGGGCUGCAUGCUGUGGAGUGGGGAGCAGCAAGCUGUUCGGAAAGUGUCUCCUGCUGAGCACCCUGUGAAUCCAACAGGUUGGAUGAGUCAGUUACAUAAAUGUGUCUCAGGUCCUUAUUGCUGAAACCACACUUCUGUUAUUUGUGGCUAAGUCAGAAGAGCAACAGGGGACCUACUAGUGUGAUUGUCAUACUGUCCAUUGACUGAAUAUUUUACUUAACCGUGAUUAUUUAGAUGUGAGGAGGAACUGAGUGUUCAUGGAAUUCAGUCCUCUCUCUUUUUUUUUUUUUACAUAGUUAACACAUAACAGGAAGUUCACUAUCCUACAUUUUUUAGGGGUGCUGUUCAGGCGUGUUAAGUGCAGUUUAUACAAUUAUCAUGAAACACAUCUCCAGGACCUUCCCAUCUCGCAUGACGGAAGCUCUACCUAUUAAACAAUGCUCCCUAUUUCUCCCCUCCCCAGCCCACGGCAACCACCGUUCUACUUUUUGCCCCCAGGAGUUUGUUCUAGGUGCCUCACAUAAGUGGGAUACAUAAUAUUUGCCAUUUUGUGGCUGACUUAUUUCCGUAGCAUGAUUUACUCAAGGUUUAUCCAUUAUGUGGCAAUGACAGGAUUCCCCUCCUUUUUAAAGCUGAAUGCUAUUCCAUUGCAUGCACAAACCACUUUUUAUGUAUCUAGUUACCUGUCCAUGGACAUUGGAUUCCAUCUACCUUUGGGCUGUGAACACGAGUAUGAUAAAAAUCUCAUCAAGAGUCUGCUUUCAAUUGUUCUGCAUACAUACCCAGGAGUGGAUUUGCUGGAUUGUAGGGCAGUUCUAAUUUUUGAUGUUUUGAGGAACUUUGGUACUGUUUCCAUAACAGUUUUACAAAUCCCAUGAACGGUGCUAUUUUAUUUUUUUGUUUGAUUCUUUUGAAAGGAAAUAUGGGUGUUUAUUUUUAUGACUGGAAAGCAUUCAUUUUCCUUCCCCCUCUCCGACUUCCUUUGACCUAACUAACACGAGGUCAUUCUGCAGGUCAAGAUUUCCUUGACUCCUGCAGAGUAAACUGGCUGUCCCUCCACACGGUCCCCUGUACCCUGCACAACUUUCUUUCUGUAACCCUCUCCAAGCUUCAGUUAACGGAUCCCACCUGUGUCCCCAGCACCAAUGCUGUGGGGCUGAGCUAGGCUUCGCCCCUCCCCUGCUGGUUUUAUGGCCCAGUGGGGGCACAUGGUGAUGCUUACUAAGUGAAUGCUUCCUGGUGGAAUGGAUGGCCCCCUCACCCUUCCCGCCCCUUCCGUCAAUCUGGGGUCUGUUGUUAGGUGGCCUAUCGGAGAAAAGGGCAGGGAUGAUGACUCUGUGGAUGGGAAAAGCGGGUGAGGAAUUCUGUGCAAAUGAACCACAUUCAGCAACAGCAAAUUCACCGAAUUCUUCAGAAGCCUGUGACAAUCUGGCAGACACAAAGGAGUCUUGUGAGUGGGUGUCGAAUGACGAAUGUGACCAUGGAUGGACAUUUUUUUAGGAGUCGGGUAAGGGGUGAGGACUUGCUAUGUCCUCUUGGACAAGAGAGUAGAGUGUCUUCCAAUUUUUAAGUGUCUCCUUUUCUAUAAAAGGCCCAGUUGAUGGUUCGGGAGGGUUUUGCCUCUUGGAAAGGCAAAUUCUGCUGUGUUGCCAUCCAUGAGGGACCUUCUCUGGAAUGGCGUGGUGUCUCACGGGGAAGCCAGGGAGCAGUUCUACUGCACACAGCACGUACUCAGGGGUGACGGUGAAGACUGGGGCCUGGGUCUCCUUUUUCCAAUGCAUUUUUAUUUUGAGGUAGUUCUAGAUCUAUAGAAGAGUUUCCAGAAUCAUUCAAAGAAUUCCUCAAAUAGCCUUCCCCUAGAUUUCCCAAAGGCUGGUGUUCUACCAUGCCUACUUGAUCAUUUUCUCUGUAUAUUCAUCUAAUCAUCUGCACGGCUUGAGGAAGGUGAUGUGCCUUUACAUCUAAAUACUUCAGUGUAUUUUCCCCCAAGAAUCAAGGACAUUCUCUUACAUUGAUCGAUUUAUGUUGAUACAAUAUGCUUUUCUUUAUUUUUUAUUUUUUGGUACUGAGGAUUGAACCCAGGGGCAUUCAGCCACUGAGCGACAUCCCCAGCCCUAUUUUGUAUUUUAUUUAGAGACAGCAUCUCACUGAGUUCCUCAGCACCUCGCUUUUGCUGAGGCUGGCUUUGAGCUCACAAUCCUCCGCCUCAGCAUCUUGAGUUGCUGGGAUUACAGGUGUAAUACGCUUUUCUGACCCAUAGAUAUUUUUAAAAAAAUUUCCAAUUAAUUUAAUAAACAAGUUAGAGAAACACUUUACAGGUUCUGUGUCCAAUCCUAUAACAUGUUGAAUAUAGUCAUUAAAUCUUUACUUUCUUUCAAUAUGGAACUGUCCCUAAGCUUUAUCUUUGACAUUUUUUCAAGAGUAUAGGCUAGCUAUUUUUUUUUUAAGAAUGACUCUCAAAUUGGGUUUACCUGGUAUUUUCUUACACAGAUGCAUGUACCUUCACAUCAGGGACACAUUCUGAGAAACACAAGGUUAGGUGAUCAGGUCAUUGUGUGAAUGUCAUUGAGAGCCAUCACACAGACACCAUGGUACAGGCUAACACACACCAAGGCUACCCAGAAGUUGAACUUUAUUUACUUUAUUCAGACUUUUUGGUGAGAAACAAAGACACAAACACCUGCAUUAGCCUACCCCCAAAGGGCCAGGAUCACCUGUGUCCCACCUCUACAUCUUGGGCCGUGGUUUUCAGGGGCCAUGAUACAACGGAGCUAUUGCCUCUUAUGGUCACAGUGUCUUCUUUUGGAAUCCCUCCUGGAGGACCCACCUGGGACCAUUUUAUAGUUAAUUUUUUUAAUAAGCAUAAGUACACACUGAAGUCACGAUAAAAAUGACGGUAAGUGCAUACACCAAGAACAGAGUUGUCGUAAUUGUCAAGUGUGAUGUGCUGUAUGUAAUGCACUUGCUGGACUUUCACACGAUAGCCCAUGCACACAGGCGUCACCACCAACACGUGAGAAGUGUGAUGUACCAUGGCGUUAGGGCUCUCGGAUGUCACCAGGUGAUGGGGCUGUUUCAGCUCCAUUGAAAUCUAUGGUACCCACCGUCAGUAUGUUGUUGGCCCAAAGAAACUUUGUUAUAUGGUGUAUGCAUGACUCAGAUUUGCCUUUUUGGCAGGAAAAUAGAAAGACUGAUGUCACAUAAUAAAGAUGAUUUUUCUAUUUGUUCUUUUUAGAUACGCAUGACAGUAGAGUGUACUUUGGCAUAUUAUAUAAACGUGGAGUAUAACUUAUUCUAACUAGGAUCUUAUUCUUGUGGUUGCACAUGAUUCGGGGUCACCCUGGUCAUGUAUUCAAAUACAAGGAUAGGAAAGUUGUGACCAAUUAAUUCUACUAUUCUUCCUAUUUCCCUCCCCUCCCCUUCUCUUUGUUCCCCUUUGUCUAAUCCAAUUGAUUUCUGUUCUUCUCUCCCCAUCCUCCCUGUUGUGGGUUAGCAUCCACAUGUCAGAGAGAACAUUUGGCCUUUUUUUUUGAUUGGCUUAUUUCACUUAGCAUAAUAGUCUCCAGUUCCAUCCACUGGCCAGCAAAUGCCAUAAUUCCAUUCUUCUUUAUAGCUGAGUAAUAUUCCAUUGUAUGUACCACAUUUUCUUUAUCCAUUCAUCUGUUGGUUGGGCAUCUAGGUUGGUUCCAUAGCUUGGCUAUUGUGAAUUGAACUGCCAUAAACAUUGAUGUGGCUGCAUCACUGUAGCAGGCUAAUUUUAAGUCUUUUGGGUAUAAACCAAGGAAUGGAUCAAAUGGUAGUUCCAUUUGAAGGAUAAAAAUGGUUUUUAAAAAGAUGGUUGUUUUGAGAAUGUUUGGGAGCUUCAUAGAGUGGCCACGAGCCCAGGCUUUAGGAUCACUUAGUAGAUAUGUAAUUUAGGGGAAUGAUCUUGAGAGAAUCUUUUCACCUCUCUGAUACUGGUUUCCUAGUCUGUAAGGUAAGGAGUGGUAGUGCCUUACUAUCCCCAGAGGUUCCCAAUGUGGUCCUUCCAUGUGGUGGCUCAUUUUAUGGCUUGGAUGUGGGGUGUCCCCCCAAAGCUCAUGUGUGAGACAUGCAAGAGGGUUUAGAGGAGGAAUGACUGGGUUAUGGGAGUCUUAAUCCAAACAAUAAAUUAAUCCCCUAAAGGGAUUAACUGAGUGAUAACUGAAGGCAGGUGGGGUGUGGCUGGAGGAGGUGGGUGUUGGGGAUGCGGCUUUGGGGUAUAUAUUUUUUAUCUGGCAAGUGGAUUCUGUCUCUCUGCUUUCUGAUCACCAUGUGAGCUGCUUCCCUCUGCCACGCUCUUCCGUCACUGAUGUCCUGCCUCACCGCAAGCCCUGAGGAAUGGAGCUGUCUGUUUAUGGACUGGGACCUCUGAAAGCAUGAGCCCUCAAAUAAAUAUUUCCUCCUCUUGUUCUGGUCGGGUCUUUUAGUCCCAGCAGUGAAAAAGCUAACUAAAACACAGGACGAUCUUAUAACAGGAGGUAAUUUAAACAUGCUGUUUUCUUCCCUUUUCAGAUAAAGCAACUGAAGCCCAGAGAGGCUAAACAACUUGCCCAGAGUCACACAGCUGGUGUGUGGUAGGAUUGGGAUUCCAACCCAGUGAUGCUGCCUGUUUAAUCACCACAGGGGAUCCACUCCUCAAGUCUUAGAAGAUUGUUUGUGAGGAAUGCAGAAGAAUAUGUAGGGCAAACAGUUAAUUCAGUGCCAGGCACACAGUAAACUCUAAAUGUUCAUUGUUCGUAUCUUCCUUUACUCAUUAGUUUCUCACGUCAUAAAUGAUUUGAUCAAGAAGAUGUUUCCACUUGAUACUGAAGCAAUCGAGAAUGCAAGACUAUCCCCAGACCAGCUGAUGUUUACGAGGUCCCUGGGACUCCCGAGCAGUGAUGUCAACCUUGGGCUGUGUCAAGGGGCGAGGGAGGGGACCGCAGCUCAGCAUCUGCCCUUGGCCAUCGGGUGGCUCUGAGGCAGUCACCGAUGGCCAAUGCCCGGCGGAGGCUUGACACGUGGAGGGAAGCCUGGAGAUCUGAAUUGGCCAU
rnacentral:lncRNA from 1 species